GACGUAGGUGGCGAACGUUAUCCGGAAUUAUUGGGCGUAAAGGGUGCGUAGAUGGCUGAAUGAGUUGGUGGUGGUAAAUCGAGGCUCAACCUCGUGGAAGCCAUCAAUACUGUUCGGCUUGAGGAUAGGAGAGGUUAAUGGAACUCCCAGUGGAGCGGUAAAAUGUGUAGAUAUUGGGAAGAACACCAAUAAGGCGAAGGCAGUUAACUAUUCUGGUCCUGACAUUGAGGCACGAAAGCGUGGGGAGCAAAACGG
rnacentral:rRNA from 1 species